GCUCUUUUUCUGUCGGAACCAAGAGAAGAAAAAAAGAAAAGAGGGAAAGGGUUCUCAUUUUUCCAUAGAAAGAAAUCAUGAUCCACAAAGAUCUAAUCGUUCAAACUCAAAUUCGACUUUGGAAACGUGAUCUACGCGUGAGGAUCUAUGUUCUUACAGAUUGUUUUGAGGUAAUGGGUUACUUGGAACUUGUUUGAGACUGCCCAAACCAUGGGUUUUGGUUUGGUAAAUUUUUGAAUAGCCCAUUAUGCAGGCAUGAAAGAGUAUAAAGCUCAAGGAUUGGAUUUUGUUAGCAUUGAAGAGUUAAGAACUGUUUAUUAAUGUAGCUAAUGAUUACAGUGAUUUCUUUGUAUCAGUUUGGAAUGUAAUAUUUUAAUUACAUUUGUCUUUCAAUAAACUCUGAUGUAUCUUUUUAAAGAAGAUAAAAUAUGUUCCG